AGCCCACCAGAAGUGCGUAAGCGACCGUCCUAGUCCACGAGAGUGGAGGAUAAUAUUCCGAUUAGGUGUAUUUGGUUAAACACCUUACUCUGUAAAGCUAGACCUGGGGGAGUUUGAGGGAUAGU
rnacentral:ncRNA from 1 species